GAUGAAGAACGUAGCGAAAUGCGAUAAGUAAUGUGAUUUGCAGAAUCCAGUGAAUCAUCGAAUCUUUGAACGCACAUUGCGCCCGCCAGCAUUCUGGCGGGCAUGCCUGUUCGAGCGUCAUUUCAACCCUCGACCUCCCUUUGGGGAAGUCGGCGUUGGGGACCGGCAGCACACCGCCGGCCCUGAAAUGGAGUGGCGGCCCGUCCGCGGCGACCUCUGCGUAGUAAUCCAACUCGCACCGGAACCCCGACGCGGCCACGCCGUAAAACACCCAACUUCUGAACGUUGACCUCGAAUCAGGUAGGACUACCCGCUGAACUUAAGCAUAUCAAUAAGCGGAGGA
rnacentral:misc_RNA from 1 species